rnacentral:rRNA from 1 species
AGAGUUUGAUUAUGGCUCAGAACGAACGCUGGCGGCAGGUCUUAGGCAUGCAAGUCGAACAGGUGUAAGCAAUACAGUCAGUGGCGCACGAGUGAGUAACGCGUGGGAAGCGUACCCAUCACUGGGGAAUAACGUUUGGAAACGAACGCUAAUACCACAUACGCCCGAAAGGGGAAAGAUUUAUCGGUGAUGGAUGUGCCCGCGUUGGAUUAGCUUGUUGUGGGGUAACGGCCUACCAAGGCGAUGAUCCAUAGCUGGUCUGAGAGGACGAUCAGCCACGCUGGGACUGAGACACGGCCCAGACUCCUACGGGAGGCAGCAGCUAAGAAUAUUGGACAAUGGGGGAAACCCUGAAUCCAGCCAUGCCGCGUGAAUGGAGAAGGCCUUCGGGUUGUAAAGUUCUUUUAGUAAGUGAAGAUGAUGACAGUAGCUACAGAAAAGCACCGGCUAACUUCGUGCCAGCCGCCGC